GAUGAACGCUGGCGGCGUGCCUAAUACAUGCAAGUCGAGCGAACAGACGAGGAGCUUGCUCCUCUGACGUUAGCGGCGGACGGGUGAGUAACACGUGGAUAACCUACCUAUAAGACUGGGAUAACUUCGGGAAACCGGAGCUAAUACCGGAUAAUAUAUUGAACCGCAUGGUUCAAUAGUGAAAGACGGUUUUGCUGUCACUUAUAGAUGGAUCCGCGCCGCAUUAGCUAGUUGGUAAGGUAACAGCUUACCAAGGCAACGAUGCGUAGCCGACCUGAGAGGGUGAUCGGCCACACUGGAACUGAGACACGGUCCAGACUCCUACGGGAGGCAGCAGUAGGGAAUCUUCCGCAAUGGGCGAAAGCCUGACGGAGCAACGCCGCGUGAGUGAUGAAGGUCUUCGGAUCGUGAAACUCUGUUAUUAGGGAAGAACAAAUGUGUAAGUAACUAUGCACGUCUUGACGGUACCUAAUCAGAAAGCCACGGCUAACUACGUG
rnacentral:rRNA from 1 species